UACGUAGGGUGCAAGCGUUAAUCGGAAUUACUGGGCGUAAAGCGUGCGCAGGCGGUUGUGCAAGACAGAUGUGAAAUCCCCGGGCUCAACCUGGGAAUUGCAUUUGUGACUGCACGGCUAGAGUGUGUCAGAGGGGGGUAGAAUUCCACGUGUAGCAGUGAAAUGCGUAGAUAUGUGGAGGAACACCGAUGGCGAAGGCAGCCCCCUGGGUCAAAACUGACGCUCAUGCACGAAAGCGUGGGGAGCAAACAGG
rnacentral:rRNA from 1 species